rnacentral:rRNA from 1 species
ACGAACGCUGGCGGCGUGCUUAACACAUGCAAGUCGAACGAGAGGAAUUGAAAAGCUUGCUUUUAAUGAAUCGAGUGGCAAACGGGUGAGUAACACGUAAACAACCUGCCUUCAGGAUGGGGACAACAGACGGAAACGACUGCUAAUACCGAAUACCUUCCAAGAGCCGCAUGACACCUGGAAGAAAGGGUGGCCUCUACCUGUAAGCUAUCGCCUGAAGAGGGGUUUGCGUCUGAUUAGGCAGUUGGUGAGGUAACGGCCCACCAAACCUACGAUCAGUAGCCGGUCUGAGAGGAUGAACGGCCACACUGGAACUGAGACACGGUCCAGACUCCUACGGGAGGCAGCAGUGGGGAAUCUUCCGCAAUGGGCGAAAGCCUGACGGAGCAACGCCGCGUGAGUGAUGACGGCCUUCGGGUUGUAAAGCUCUGUGAUCGGGGACGAACGGACUUACUGCUAAUACCAGUAAGUAGUGACGGUACCCGAAUAGCAAGCCACGGCUAACUACGUGCC